rnacentral:ncRNA from 1 species
GUGCGGUCACAAAAAACAAGUUUUUUGAACGUUGACUUUACCAAUGGCUCCAAAGGAGUGAAUCAAUCACUUUAGUGAUUGAUGGAUAAUUUUUCAC